AUCCCCAGCAAUGGGCAAAGAGACACCUUGUUGUUGGUGUUGUUCUUAGUCAGAGGCAGAGCAGAUGACAGCUCUUUGUUCAUCCUAACUUGAUGCCUGACUUGGUGGCCAAAGCUUUCUUAUGCCCAGGACUCAUAA